ACUGUGAAAGUGGAUCAAGUAUCUGAAGAGGGCAAAUGGAGAAUUGUUCUAGGGAGAUGACAGCCAGGCGGUGAGAUGGAUCUGGAAUGCAGAAAGCUCUGGGCUGAGUCAUCGUUCCCAGGUGUCCAUGCUGGGAAGUGGUUGGAUCGGAGUGUGACUGAGCUCUCCCAGGACAAGUGUCCAGCAGGAGAGGAGGUGGAUCUGGACUUGAGCCUUCAGGAGCUCCAGCAGCGAAUGGCUUGGAGAAAAUCAGUGAAGGCAGCAGAGAAGGAAGCGUGAAAGCAGACAAUUUCUGUCGUCCAGGAAAGAGAAGCCCGCAUUCCUUGGAGAAGACACGAUCCACACCUGGGGGCAAAAUCUGCCAGGGACCCCCCCCUCACCUUGGAGCUUAUGCUUCACAACAAACUUUUGUUAAUAUUUAUGAAGAGACUUAAUGCCUUUUGGUGCAAAAAAAAAAUUCUAAAUGAACAUUGCUAACAGGAUGGUGCCCUAUCUCCCAAAACAUAUAA